GCUCCAAUAGCGUAUAUUAAAGUUGUUGCGGUUAAAAAGCUCGUAGUUGGAUUUCUGCCGAGGACGACCGGUCCGCCUCUGGGUGAGCAUCUGGCUCGGCCUGGGCAUCUUCUUGGAGAACGUAUCUGCACUUGACUGUGUGGUGCGGUAUUCAGGACUUUUACUUUGAGAAAAUUAGAGUGUUUCAGGCACUAGCGCCG
rnacentral:rRNA from 1 species